UUUUCUUUUCUAAUUAGACCCGACUUCGGGUCCAUCCAACAUAAUGACAAGUUCCCAGAAAGGGCCAAUCUUCUUUCCCCCGCUCAGCCCUCAUUAUAAGUCUCAGCUGAUAAGCUGCUGAGUCCUGACACUGCACAUUUAUUUAGAAUUGCAAACACCUGUGCACUAGAAAACCAGGCCAGCAGAAAGCCUUCCUCCUCGCCCGCACCCCCUCCCGGCAGCCUCCACUCUCAGGGGCGGCCUGUCCUCCUGUCCCCCUCGCAGCCCGAACGGGAAGCCAGAAGUCACAGUGAUUCGUGCCCCUCACGACGGCCUGCCUCCCCCACCCCCGCACCUGGGACGACCUCAUUCAGCUUCCCUGUCAGUUCAGUCCCGUCCCCUGCCAGGGCGCCGUCGCACCAAGGGUUAAAGAAAUAAUUAUUGUGGGGCCAGGAGACUUGACACAGCUGGGGACAGGAGAGCCUCCGGCGCUGCAGAAUCUGCCGACUUGCAACUCCAGCAACCGGAGUAGGGCCCACCAUCGCCUCCUCUGCCGUCACUGUGGUCUCAUUCACUUCAAAUUGAACGCUUGUGUCCACAAAAAGACUUGUACGUGAAUGUCGAUGACAGCUUUAUUCAAAACAGCCAAAAGCUAGAAACAGGCCAAGUGCCCAUCAGCAGAAGAAGGGAUAGGCAAACCAAUACUCACACGAUGGAAUACUGUCCAUCAGUGAAACGGGACAGGAUAUGGAUACAUGCAGCAUCGAUGGUCUCACAGAUGUUGUGUUGAGUGAAAGACCAAAAACAUAUAUGCCAUUCGACGCCAUUUCUCUGAAGCGUGAGAUCAGCCAAAACCGAUUUUGGUAACAAGUCAGAAUAGUGGUUAUCUACGGCAGAGGGUGACAGGGGUGGGGAAGAUUGACUAGAAGGGCGUUUUCUGGGAUGACGGAAAUGUUCUGGUGGCCGCAUGGGUAUCUACACUUGCAAAAAAGUCACCACGCUGUCCUCUUAAGAUUUGUUCAUUUUACCAUAUGCAAAUUGAAUCUCAAUAAAGAACUUCUAAAAUUCAAGCAUGAUGUCAUUUAAUUUAAAUUAUAUCCUCCCCUCCAACCUACCAAACUGUCCCAAGCCUCCAGCAGUCUGCUCAAAAUAAAUUCUCUCAACACCCUGGCACUGUUGGCUCUUCUACCAGACUGUGAACUCCCAGCUCUUUAUGGGGACCUCAGAAGUUUGCUGGACAGAUGGACGGGUGCACGAGCACAUUACGACCUCUAACACACGGAAAGAGAAUGAGCUGUCCCACAAAGCUCUAACGCUCUCCCAGAAGAGAGACCAGAUCUGUGUCCACUCAACUAGCCACAACACGGAGAUGACCAGCCAGAGUCAGGCUAGGUGAUCAAAGGGCAGACUUAGGUUAAUGGGUCCACGUUUAGAAGACGCAGGAGGGUCAGUAAUGUACCCUGCAGAC